UACGUAGGGUGCGAGCGUUAAUCGGAAUUACUGGGCGUAAAGCGUGCGCAGGCGGUUUUGCAAGACAGAUGUGAAAUCCCCGGGCCUAACCUGGGAACUGCAUUUGUGACUGCAAGGCUAGAGUGUGUCAGAGGGAGGUGGAAUUCCGCGUGUAGCAGUGAAAUGCGUGAGAGAUGCGGAGGAACACCGGAUGGCGAAGGCAGCCUCCUGGGAUAACACUGACGCUCAUGCACGAAAGCGUGGGGAGCAGACAGG
rnacentral:rRNA from 1 species